AGAGUUUGAUCCUGGCUCAGAGCGAACGCUGGCGGCWGGCCUAACACAUGCAAGUCGAACGGGCACCUUCGGGUGUCAGUGGCAGACGGGUGAGUAACACGUGGGAACGUGCCCUUUGGUUCGGGACAACUCCGGGAAACUGGAGCUAAUACCGGAUAAGCCCUUCGGGGGAAAGAUUUAUCGCCAAAGGAUCGGCCCGCGUCUGAUUAGCUUGUUGGUGAGGUAACGGCUCACCAAGGCGACGAUCAGUAGCUGGUCUGAGAGGAUGAUCAGCCACACUGGGACUGAGACACGGCCCAGACUCCUACGGGAGGCAGCAGUGGGGAAUAUUGGACAAUGGGCGCMAGCCUGAUCCAGCCAUGCCSCGUGAGUGAUGARGSCCYWRGGKUKKAAASYYCUUUWWCC
rnacentral:rRNA from 1 species